CACGUAGGGCGCAAGCGUUGUCCGGAAUUAUUGGGCGUAAAGAGCUCGUAGGCGGUCUGUUGCGUCCGCUGUGAAAACUCGGGGCUUAACCCCGAGCCUGCAGUGGAUACGGGCAGACUAGAGGUAGGUAGGGGAGAAUGGAAUUCCCGGUGUAGCGGUGAAAUGCGCAGAUAUCGGGAGGAACACCGGUGGCGAAGGCGGUUCUCUGGGCCGAUAUUGACGCUGAGGAGCGAAAGCGUGGGGAGCAAACAGG
rnacentral:rRNA from 1 species